rnacentral:misc_RNA from 1 species
GAAAAAUACGCAUCAGCAAAUCAAAUUUGAGCAAGAAAAUCAAGCCAAAUCCUCCCAUGAAGAAUUCAGCCAAAGUAUGAAGUCCUAUUCCUAGUGGAAUUUCACCUAGCAAUACUAUAUAAAGGGGUCUUAGGAAUGAUGAGAGGACAUUCACUGGCAUCAGAAAUUUCAUACUACUCCCCUCUCUCUCAUAGUGGCCGAAUACUACUUAAGAAAAUCUAGGGAUUGUUACAUUAAAGAUUCCUUAGGUUUUUGCAAGUAUAAGGAGGCUACUAUUGUGCAUACAUCAUAGUGUACUUGUGGUUGCUUUUAAGUUGAAGAAUUGAGUUGUUUGGAGCAUCAUAGCCCAUGGCAGCAAGGAGUUAAUCAAGUUGGAGAUUUGUUUGGCGCAACCUUAGUGUGGCCGCAUAUUUAUCUUGGUGUAUCUUCAAAGGAUUUCAAGUGUAUUUAAUCAGGGAAUAUGUUUUUCAUAACUAUAUCUCUUUUAUUUUGUGUUUUGUUUUUAGCUAUGUGUGAGUAGAUUAGAUUCUUAGCAUAGAUGCCAUGAAGCUACAAAGUUAACAUUAUGAAACCUUGAUUCUGUUUUAAUGAGAAAGCUUAAUUUUAUUAAUAUAUUCAUAUACUUUUGUGAUUGAAUCAAUAAAUACAUGUUAUUAGGGUGCACUCUAUUUUUCAU